AUUGAACGCUGGCGGCAUGCUUUACACAUGCAAGUCGAACGGUAACAGGCCUUCGGGUGCUGACGAGUGGCGAACGGGUGCGUAAUGCAUCGGAACGUGCCCAGAGGUGGGGGAUAACGCAGCGAAAGCUGUGCUAAUACCGCAUGUGAUCUGAGGAUGAAAGCGGGGGACCAGGCAGCAAUGUUUGGCCUCGCGCCUUUGGAGCGGCCGAUGUCAGAUUAGGUAGUUGGUGGGGUAAAGGCCUACCAAGCCGACGAUCUGUAGCUGGUCUGAGAGGACGACCAGCCACACUGGGACUGAGACACGGCCCAGACUCCUACGGGAGGCAGCAGUGGGGAAUUUUGGACAAUGGGCGCAAGCCUGAUCCAGCAAUGCCGCGUGCGGGAAGAAGGCCUUCGGGUUGUAAACCGCUUUUGUACGGAACGAAAAGGCUCUGGCUAAUACCUGGGACUGAUGACGGUACCGUAAGAAUAAGCACCGGCUAACUACGUG
rnacentral:rRNA from 1 species